AAAUUUUGUUUAAUGGCACUGAAUAAUUACAAUAAUAUAGAUAUUUAUUGUUGUUAUCAGAUAAAAGUUGUUUUCUUUUAUUUAAAUUUAGUACUCAUAAAAAUCAGUUUAGAAUACUAUUAUAAUUUGAAACAAAACUAUUACAACAAUUUUACUUUUCUGGCUUUUACAGAGAAUGAAUUAAAAACAUGUGAAAUGAAUACAGUAUUGCUUUAUUCCUUUGAAUUGUAAUUGUGUACAGGUAGCCCUCGGUUUAUGCUGCAGUUCCGUUCCUACAAAAGCCGGCUCAAAUCGAAUCGGCGUAAAAUGAACCCAUAUUUACAGUGAAGUAUAGGGUUAGGUUCUACA
rnacentral:lncRNA from 1 species